rnacentral:lncRNA from 1 species
GGCUCUGGAGUGAGUUGGUCAUGAUCAAAUGGUUAAGGGGCUUUUCGAGUUUGAUCAGGAGCCUAGGGACAAUCGAACGGUCAGAAUUAUUUUUGGGCUUUGAUUUGAACUUAGUCUCCUAGUGAAACACUAUUUUAGGAUUUUUGGAGGCUAUAAAAUUUCGAUUGAUGAUUCGUUUAUUGGGUCAGGUAACUGGUGACAUCCUGAUCAUGCAGAGAGGCUUCUUGAGAG